rnacentral:rRNA from 1 species
CCUGCCUCGAAGUGGGGGACAACAGCCCGAAAGGGCUGCUAAUACCGCAUACGAAUCUUUUUUCGCAUGAUUUUAGAUUCAAAGCUUUAUGCGCUUCGAGAUGGGCUUGCGGCCUAUCAGCUUGUUGGCGAGGUAAUGGCUCACCAAGGCGAUGACGGGUAGCUGGUCUGAGAGGAUGAUCAGCCACACUGGGACUGAGACACGGCCCAG